UACCGAGACGGCAAGCGUUGUUCGGAAUUAUUGGGCGUAAAGAGCACGUAGGCGGCUGUGUAAGUCGGUUGUGAAAGCCUUCCGCUUAACGGAAGAACGGCAUCCGAUACUGCAUAGCUCGAGUGCGGGAGGGGAGAGUGGAACUUCUGGUGGAGCGGUGAAAUGCGUAGAUAUCAGAAGGAACACCGGCGGCGAAGGCGACUCUCUGGCCCGUAACUGACGCUGAGUGUGCGAAAGCUAGGGGAGCAAA
rnacentral:rRNA from 1 species